CCGACCUUAGCUCAGUUGGUAGAGCGGAGGACUGUAGUAUGUGCAGAAAGAUCCUUAGGUCGCUGGUUCGAAUCCGGCAGGUGGGA
rfam:Oryza nivara chromosome 8, whole genome shotgun sequence.